rnacentral:rRNA from 1 species
CCUACGGGUGGCAGCAGUAGGGAAUAUUGCACAAUGGGGGAAACCCUGAAGCAGCAACGCCGCGUGGAGGAUGAAGGCCUUAGGAUUGUAAAGUACUUUUGGCGGAGAAGACGAUGACGGUAUCUAACGAAUAAGCACCGGCAAACCCCGUGCCAGCAGCCGCGGGAAUACGGGGGGCGAGAGCGUUACUCGGAAUCACUGGGCGUAAGGAGAGCGUAGGCGGGGUAAUAAGUCAGAUGUUAAAUCCUGUAGCUUAACUACAGAACUGCAUUUGAAACUGUUACUCUGGAGUGUGGAAGAGGUAGUUGAAAUUCUUGGUGUAGGGGUAAAAUCCGUAGAG